CAGUGGGUGUUCUGUAGGUGUUCAGUAGGUGUUUAGUGGGUAUUCAGUGGGUGUUGGGUGUUCAGUGGGUGUUCAAUGGGUGUUCAGUGGGUGUUCAGUAGGUGUUCAGUGGGUAUUCAGUGGGUGUUCAGUGGGUGUUCAGUGGGUGUUCAAUAGGUGUUCAGUGGGUAUUCAGUGGGUGUUGGGUAUUCAGUGGGUGUUCAGUGGGUGUUG